rnacentral:tRNA from 2 species
GGAGGGAUGGCCGAGCGGUCGAAGGCGGCGGUCUUGAAAACCGCUGAGCGCAAGCUCCGGGGGUUCGAAUCCCUCUCCCUCCGCCA